AUGAUUAGACAAGACAGGCAGUUAGUUGGUGGGAUGCUGACGACCCACGAGUCCCAUUGCAAACAAGGAUUUUGGAGAGUGGAUUUCAUUACUUCAGAGAACAGAUUUCUUCUGUUCUCAAACAAAAUCCUGCCUCCAAACAGUGAAAUACCUAAACACACAGAAGCUCCAUUCCUCAGAGGGAAGACAAAGAUUUCCUCCCCCCAGAGGAUUCUAUAAUCUCUGAAACAUGGAGGGCUUCAGCAUGUUUUGAAAAGAUACAGCUCUUAAAAGGAGCUGCUGAUAGGAAGAGUGCAGUGGAAAUACUGUUCCCUAACAGAACAAAUCCAAACGACAGUUGGAGUUGUUUCUUAACGCAGUCUAUGUAAAGAGCCACUUCCAGGAGCCUCACCACAACCCAGAGACUUACUAAGACUGAAACACAAGUAUUUGUAUAUCUGCCACAUAUUACCUUUUUGUGCUAUUUCUAUGUCAGCACACAGAAAUGCUUGCAUUCACUCUUGUGAGCACAGAAGCGUCAUCUUUCUUUCAAUCUAUUUUUGUCAGAAACAUCACUUACUCUUUGGCUUCACACUAUUCCUUUGCUAUGACUAUAUGCUUAUAACUAUAUAAAUAUAUACCUUCUGUGGAAAACCUGGAUUAGAAGGAAAUAAGUUGGAAAGUGUGAUAUCUGUCUUUUGUUUCCUGGAAGAAAAACUACUGUUGUCAUUACAGUCCAGUAUCCCUACACAGAAAUGGGUCUCACCCUUCCUCUGAGGAGCAGAGGGGCUGCAAACCAGUCACACCUUGCAAUAGCCUGUGCCUCCUCCUGCAAACAGCAGGCAUGCUGAACAUCAAUUCCUAGAUUACCACAUCUAGUAAGGCAAGUGUUAAUAGCAUGCAUCUGCCUGUCAUAGCGUUAGACACAUUUUGAACACAGCCUAGUGUAUGAAAGUGCUCAAGACACACCUGUGAUGACCUUGUACUGCAUCAGAACUGACCCAAUGCCUACCAUUUACUCCAUCCAGAAAACUAAGAUGUCCAGCAAAUAUAACACAGAACAAUUUCAUACAACAUUAUACCACCAUAAAAAAUACACACAAAAUAGCUGACAAAACCCAGAAAAGCUGCUAGAAAAAUCUAAGCAGUAGAAAAUAAGCACUUUCUGUAUAAAUCUCUGUUUCUUUUGGAUUCACUAUACCCAUACUGCUCUCUCUUUCAUUUCCAUACGAAACUUGUAUUUGCUCAGUUCUCGCUUAAAGCUUUCACCUCCAUACAAUUUGCAACUGCAUCCAAAUUUCUGCCAUCGGAAUUCAUGAUGAUAAACUUGCAUUUCACAUCCAUGACUGUGGUAGCACUUAAUCAACAAAGUCCCUACCUAUACGUAUUUAUAUAGACAUACAUGUAUAUAUACACACAUACAUACAUACACAUGACAAAUACUGUUGCAGUUAUCCUCUCUUCCAGUUUUUGGAGUGACAGGCAUCCUAGAAGGUAAAGGCAUACACCACUCCAACAAC
rnacentral:lncRNA from 1 species